rnacentral:misc_RNA from 1 species
UUGACAGUUCGCUAAGAACACUCAGAAGUAUCGUCGGGUUCGAAAACAGAGAUUCUGAUGAGACCGGCGGGCACCCUUGCGGGCGCCGCCGAAGCAACAGGUAUAAUAGUUCACAAAGGGUAGAGAGUGUAGUACUCAGUAAUGAUCCCUCCGCUGGUUCACCAACGGAGA